CGGCCUCGCCCCGCACCACGUUCCGCCUUGCCCUCGGGACGCAGAGCGCGCGGCGACGUUUCCGGCGGGACCCGGACGUCCCGCCUCACGGCUUGCGUGCCCUUGUCGAGCGGUGCAGACCUACGGCAAAGCGGUUCGGUGCAGGCCUGGUGUACUCUUCUGUCUGGUCAGAGUGAAAGAGAACAAUGCAGAGGGACCCUGGCCCACUAGUACCUUUACAUUGGAUUGGCUUUGGCUAUGCAGCGCUGGUUGCUUCUGGUGGGAUCAUUGGCUAUGCAAGAGCAGGUAGUGUCCCAUCACUGGCUGCUGGGCUGCUUUUUGGUAGUUUAGCAGGCCUGGGUGCUUAUCAGCUGUCUCAGGAUCCGAGGAACAUCUGGGUAUUUCUAGCUACAUCUGGAACGUUAGCUGGCAUUAUGGGAAUGAGAUUCUACCACUCUGGAAAAUUUAUGCCUGCGGGCUUAAUCGCUGGUGCCAGACUUGGAAAGAGCAGAAGAAAGAUACAUGUUGGCCUACACUUGUAUUUGCUUAUGCGUAUACCACCUGGGGGAAAAUUGCUCUUGGAUUGCAGUCCCCUGUAUCAGUCAACUGUUCAGGGGCUGCUGAUGACCCACCAAUUCCAACCUGCAUUCGUCUGUUUGUUGGACCCCCACCCAAAUAGCCGGGAUGCCAUCCAGAUUACCAUAUUAUGUUUACUUGUCAUUUCUCUUUAGACUCUUCCAGAUGGUGAGCUUCUCAAACUGCCCUUGUUUUGAUGACCUUGAUAGUUUUUAGGAAGACUGGUCAGGUAUUUUGUACAAUGCCCCUCAUCUGUUGUUUUUCUCAUGAUUAGAUUGGGAUUCUGAUUUUGGAGGGGAGGAAAAGCAACAGAGGUGAAGUGACAUUUUCAUCACAUCAUAUCAAGAGCACAUACUAUCAACAUGACUGCUCAUUGUUGAUUUUAGCCUUGCUCACCUGGCUGAGGGAGAGCUUGUCAGACUUUUCCACUGUAAAGUUACUCUUUUUCCCUUUCUGUAUAGCAUUAUUUCGAAGGAAAUCACAGUGCACAGCCCACAGUUAAGAGUGGGGAGUUAUGCUCCAUCUUCUUGAGGGUGGAGUAUCUACAUAAAUUAUUUGGAAUUAUUCUGGGCAUUUGUCUCUUCUCCCAUUUGUUAGUUUAUUUAUUUAUUCGAUCAUAUUUAUAUCAGGAUGGACUCAUGGAUUUGUAAAAAUAUUUUGCAUUAUAAUACAAGACUAUUUUUUAUUUUUAUUUAUUUAUUUAUUUUUUUUUAAAGAUUUUAUUUAUUUGAGAGAGAGAGAGUGAGAGAGCAUGAGAGGAGAGAGGGUCAGAGGAAGAAGCAGACUCCCCGCCGAGCAGGGAGCCAGAUGUGGGACUCGAUCCCAGGACUCCGGGAUCAUGACCUGAGCCGAAGGCAGUUGCCCAACCAACUGAGCCACCCAGGCACCCAAUACAAGAUUAUUUUUUUUAAAAAUUGUUCCAGCUUUGGCCAUUGGGACCUCUUUCAGUUGACUUUUGUGUCCUUUUGACAUGAUCCCAUUGUUGUGGAGUUUUGUUGUUCUUGGUUGGUUUGUUAGGUUAGCACUUACUUUCUACCACCACGAAAUGCUCCAGGCUCAUCUUGUCCACCUGGAAGUGGAGGAGAGCUGUCUCCUAAAGCUGUGUAAGACCCUGGCACACGGGCAGCAGGCUAAGAUCCCCUUAACCAAAUCCAACAGCAUGGUUGAAAGGCUCUCCUCUACUUCCAGACUGACAGUGGGCAGCCUUUAGUGGUCUCCUUUCUCUUCUCCUUUUUGCAAUACAAGUUCUCAGGUGUCUCAGCUUCAACCAAGGGUGGGUGCCCAGUGGGUGUCCACUCUAAAAUUAGCAAGGGAAAAUUCUUAUAGACAUCAUUAUAUGUUUAAAUUUCUAAAAUAUUAUAAAUGCAUGUGAUAAUGGAGAGCCUUCACUGCUAUGUAACAUGAGAUUUGGCAUGUCUUACUUCUCUUGCUUACUAGAAAUUUCUUGAAGGCAGAGACCACAUUUUUUGCUUCUUUGUAUAAUUCCUAUACUGAGGACUUAGCAUAUAGCUGGUGAAAGAAUAUAUUCUGUUGAAUAUGUUACAAUUUUUUUCAAUCAUUUUGGCAAAUAUGUUCUCUAAGAUAAACAUUUUUUUUUUUACAUCACAAAAUCAAAACUUAAGGUUGUACCUUUAUUUUAAAAGGCUCUGUUAGAGUUCCAUGAUGAUUGUGAUAUUCUUGCAACAAGGAUAGUGACACCCAAAGCAGAAAUGGAUGAUGGUCUCUGUUCAGAAGCCCGCAGGGCCAGCACUCGAGCCUGAAGACAGAGACCUCCAUAGAUGACUUCUGUACAUCCCUUUCUGGUGUCGUAAUUCUGGGUGCCCUUGAAUUAAGGGGUUUUAUUGCUCCAUCUUGGCAAUCGCCAGAAAAGAUCUUUAAAAGCCUAGUGCUUAGGGUGGUUAAGAGAAGGAAUUCACAUGGCUUUUGGAAACCUGGAUAGUAUAGUUUAUUAAAUAGGCCAUCUGGGGACACAAGGCUUUUUCGAUUGGGGUUUUUAAAACCUCACCCUUAAGAAGCAUUAGGAAAGAGAAUGUUUAUUUUCCACAUGCAGAGGUCUCCACAGGCAGCCAGGUGGCAUUUUUACUCAGUAGUGCCCUUCUGGUGCAUCAGUCAGGAGAGUCACAGGUGGCUACGGUCAGAAAGGGGCUUCUUUAACCUCUUCUCUCCCCUCCAUGGCCCCAGAAUGCCUCAUGUUUCAAAAGACUGAUCAGACCAAUUGUAAAACACAAAGUUAUAUGGGUAGCUCAGCUGUCUGAGAGAGGAUCUGAAGAUCCAGCUCUAAUGGGCUGAUUAAUGGAAAAUCCAUUACUGAUGUAGGAUAAGAAGAAUAUUUUUUUGCUUUAACCAAGUGGUAUGGAAAUAUGAAUAAAUAGGGUGACUAUCAGCAGAAGAAGUUAGUGGUAAGAACUCUGGUUGUCUGUUCUGUGUGGUUUGUAAAUAGAAAUGUUAAAGGGUGAUUUUUAGUUUUUGAAGUGUUUACUAAGUUUAUUUAUGAUAUUUAUACUUUAAAAGAUAAUAAAAAUAUGGGGCACCUGGGUGGCUCAGUUGGUUAUGUAGCUGCAUUUGGCUCAGGUCAUGAUCCCGGGGUUCUGGGAUGGAGCCCCAGGAUGAGCUCCAGGGAGCCUGCUUCUCCCUCUCCCCCGCCCCCACCAACUUAUGCUCUUUCUCACUAUCUCUCUCUCUCAAAUAAAUAAAUUCUUUAAAAAAAGAUAAUAAAAAUACAUCCUCUCCCAUUAAGUAGACUACACAGUUAAAAUAAAUAUUUUUUCCUUGUAGAAGUUCAACAACGAAAUCAUUUUAUGUAAAGACAUUUUUAUUUUUUUAAAUAUUUUAUUUAUUUACUUGAGAGCGAGAGACAGAAGGAAAGAGCGCAAGCAAGAGGAAAUGAAUGGCAGGCAGAGGGAAGAGAGAGAAGCAGGCUCUCCGCUGAGCAGGAAGCCUGAUGUAGGGUUCGCUCCCAGGACCCCAGGAUCAUGACCUGAGCUAAAGGCAGACGUUUAACUGACUGAGCCACCCAGGUGCCCCGUAAAGACAUUUUUAAUUUCCUAGUUCAUCAAAUCUCAUUUACCAUAUUUUGAACAACAAUGAAAUUAAAAUAUCCCCACUAAGUAGGAGUGCCAGAUAAAGGAUACCCAGUUAAAUUUGAAUUUUAGAUAAAUAGUGAAUAUUUCCUGUAGGUCCAUGCAAUAUUUGGGAUAUACUUUUAUUCAAAAUGUACUUGUUAUUUGUCUUAUUUCCAAUUUAACAGGGAAUCUUUUAUAUUAUUUGUUAACUCUGGCAACCCUAUCACCAAGGCAAAUUUUUCUGGAAGAAAUUUGAAGCUAUCAACAUAGCUUUUACUUAUAUUUUUUCUUUUUUUUGAAAAGAUUUUACUUUUUUAUUUAUUUGAGAGGUAGAGCGAGCAGGGAGAGGAGCAGAGAGAGAGGGACAAGCAGACUCCACGCUGACCGAGAAGCCUGACAUGGGCCCUGAUCUCACCAUCCUGAGAUCAUGACCUGAGCCAAAACCAAGAGCUGGAUGCUUAAAUGACUGAGCCACCCAGGUGCCCCUCAACAUAGCUUUUAAUAAAACACACUGGCUUUUUUUGUUGUUGUUGUUUAAAUGUUUUAUUUAUUUAUUCAUGAGAGUCAGAGAGACAGAGAGGCAGAGGCAGAGGGAGAAGCGGGCUCCCCGCCCAGCAGGGAGCCUGAUGCAGGACUCGAUCCCAGGACCCCGGGACCAUGACCUGAGCCGAAGGCAGACGCCAACCAUCGGAGCCACCCAGCUGCCGCUAUUCAGACAAUGGCACCAAUGGCACUCGGUUUGUUGAACCUAGAAAAUGAGAGUUUUUCUUGAUUUUUUUUCCUUUUCCUUACUAUCUCACGUCCAAACUGUAAGUAACUUCUAUUGAGUCUACCUCCAACUUGCAUUUUGAAUCUGUCCAUUUCCCUUCAUCUCUACUGCUACCACCCAAUCCAAACCAUCAUUAUAUCCUGCCUGGAUGACUCGCAAUUGUCUCCCUGCCUCUUGAACCCCCCCUUCAGCCCACUAUCUACAUCGUUUCAGUAUAAUCCUCUCAAAAUGUGAGUUAGAUCAUGUCACUUUUCUGCUUAUGAUUCUUGCAUGUUUUGCCAUUGCUUUUGGAAUAAAAUGUCAAUUCCUUGUUUUGGACUUCAAGAAUCUGGACCCUGCUUUCCCUUCCAACCCUUAUUCUGAGUUUCUUCUUGUCCCUUUGCACUAGACCUUCUGGGACAAUGUAUGCUCUGCUGCCCCAGGGCCUUUGCACUUGCUAUUUCUCACCUGCAGUGUCUUCCCCAGCUAUUUACCUGGACAGCCUUUUCUUACUCUUUGGUUCUUAACUCAGUACUUCAGAGAGCUCUCCCCUAACCACUUUAUCCCAAUGGGUUCGCUUCCAUUUCCUUAUUCUCCACGUCAGCAUAGAGACUGUUUUCUCCUUUACAUUGUGUGCUUGUCUCUUUAAUGUCUAUGUAGCACACCAGCCUAUGAGCUCCAAGAGGGCAGAGGCUUCUAUGUAACUCCCUGCAUCUAUCUAAUAGUAGCACAUCACUGAUGCAUAGUAGAACUCGAUAAAUAUUUGUUGAAUGAUGAAUGAAUGAAUGAAUGAAUGAGCUCAUGCUUUGACUUAUACACAGGGUAUUAUAUCUUAUUUUAUUGUUUUCAAAAUCCAGUUUUUAAUUUGUAUUUUAAAUGGCAACAAGUGGAUGACUUGGCUCCUGCCAACAUCUUCCCAUUUUCAUUCAAUGAACACAACAA